rnacentral:rRNA from 1 species
GAUGAACGCUGGCGGCGUGCCUAAUACAUGCAAGUCGAGCGAACGGACGAGAAGCUUGCUUCUCUGAUGUUAGCGGCGGACGGGUGAGUAACACGUGGAUAACCUACCUAUAAGACUGGGAUAACUUCGGGAAACCGGAGCUAAUACCGGAUAAUAUUUUGAACCGCAUGGUUCAAAAGUGAAAGACGGUCUUGCUGUCACUUAUAGAUGGAUCCGCGCUGCAUUAGCUAGUUGGUAAGGUAACGGCUUACCAAGGCAACGAUGCAUAGCCGACCUGAGAGGGUGAUCGGCCACACUGGAACUGAGACACGGUCCAGACUCCUACGGGAGGCAGCAGUAGGGAAUCUUCCGCAAUGGGCGAAAGCCUGACGGAGCAACGCCGCGUGAGUGAUGAAGGUCUUCGGAUCGUAAAACUCUGUUAUUGGGGAAGAACAUAUGUGUAAGUAACUGUGCACAUCUUGACGGUACCUAAGCAGAAAGCCACGGCUAACUACGU